GACGAACGCUGGCGGCGUGCUUAACACAUGCAAGUCGAACGGUGACGGAGAGCUUGCUCUCCUGAUCAGUGGCGAACGUGUGAGUAACACGUGGGCAACCUGCCCCAGACUUCGGGAUAACGCUUCGAAAGAGGUGCUAAUACCGAAUACGAACGCCGUGGGCAUCCACGGUGUUGGAAAGUUUUUCGGUCUGGGAUGGGCCCGCGGCCUAUCAGCUUGUUGGUGAGGUAAUGGCUCACCAAGGCGACGACGGGUAGCCGGCCUGAGAGGGCGACCGGCCACACUGGGACUGAGACACGGCCCAGACUCCUACGGGAGGCAGCAGUGGGGAAUAUUGCUCAAUGGGCAAAAGCCUGACGCAGCAACGCCGCGUGGGGGAUGAAGGCCUUCGGGUUGUAAACCUCUUUCAGCAGGGAAGAAGCGAAAGUGACGGUACCUGCAGAAGAAGCACCGGCUAGCUACGUGCCAGCAGCCGCGGUAA
rnacentral:rRNA from 1 species